rnacentral:rRNA from 1 species
GCUCUCUGGGUGGCGAGUGGCGGACGGGUGAGGAAUACAUCGGAAUCUACCUUUUCGUGGGGGAUAACGUAGGGAAACUUACGCUAAUACCGCAUACGACCUUAGGGUGAAAGCGGAGGACCUUCGGGCUUCGCGCGGAUAGAUGAGCCGAUGUCGGAUUAGCUAGUUGGCGGGGUAAAGGCCCACCAAGGCGACGAUCCGUAGCUGGUCUGAGAGGAUGAUCAGCCACACUGGAACUGAGACACGGUCCAGACUCCUACGGGAGGCAGCAGUGGGGAAUAUUGGACAAUGGGCGCAAGCCUGAUCCAGCCAUGCCGCGUGGGUGAAGAAGGCCUUCGGGUUGUAAAGCCCUUUUGUUGGGAAAGAAAAGCAGUCGGUUAAUACCCGAUUGUUCUGACGGUACCCAAAGAAUAAGCACCGGCUAACUUCGUGCCAGCAGCCGCGGUAAUACGAAGGGUGCAAGCGUUACUCGGAAUUACUGGGCGUAAAGCGUGCGUAGGUGGUUGUUUAAGUCCGUUGUGAAAGCCCUGGGCUCAACCUGGGAAUUGCAGUGGAUACUGGGCAACUAGAGUGUGGUAGAGGAUGGCGGAAUUCCCGGUGUAGCAGUGAAAUGCGUAGAGAUCGGGAGGAACAUCUGUGGCGAAGGCGGCCAUCUGGACCAACACUGACACUGAGGCACGAAAGCGUGGGGACCAACACUGACACU